rnacentral:rRNA from 1 species
ACGGAAGGCAGCAGUGAGGAAUAUUGGUCAAUGGGCGAGAGCUUGAACCAGCCAAGUCGCGUGCGGGACGAAGGCCCUACGGGUCGUAAACCGCUUUUAUAUGGGAAUAAAGUGCGCCACGCGUGGCGUUUUGCAGGUACCGUAGGAAUAAGGAUCGGCUAACUCCGUGCCAGCAGCCGCGGUAAUACGGAGGAUCCGAGCGUUAUCCGGAUUUAUUGGGUUUAAAGGGUGCGCAGGCGGCCUGCUAAGUCUCCGGUGAAAUGUCAGGGCUCAACCUUGGCACUGCCGGAGAUACUGGCGGGCUUGAGAGUGGCGGACGUCGCCGGAAUGUGUGGUGUAGCGGUGAAAUGCUUAGAUAUGACGAAGAACUCCGAUUGCGAAGGCAGCCUUCUGGGGUGUUACUGACGCUGAGGCUCGAAAGUGCGGGAAUCAAACAGGAUUAGAUACCCUGGUA